rnacentral:lncRNA from 1 species
CCAUCCAUUUAUGCAAUGUUGUAGUUGAAAAAAGAAGAAAAAGAAAACACAAAAAGCAUCCAGAAAAUUUGAUAUUAUUAUGGCUACUUUGCUAUGGACACCUUCCAAUUCCCUCAAUCUCAAUCUCAACGGAAAACAAUCUCCUCUUAAACUAAACGCAAACCCCUCUCUUCAUUUCAACCGUCGUUUUCGUCGUUUCAACACCGCAAUCUCUUGCAAUUCUACUAAUCACAACGACGCUUCAAUCUCAAUCUCAACGGAAAACAAUCUCCUCUUAAACUAAACGCAAACCCCUCUCUUCAUUUCAACCGUCGUUUUCGUCGUUUCAACACCGCAAUCUCUUGCAAUUCUACUAAUCACAACGACGCUCAUACAAAACCACAAUCUCAAUCUCAAGCUAUUCAACUUUACUCCCAA